rnacentral:rRNA from 1 species
AGCGAAUAGAUACCCCGGUAGUCCACGCCGUAAACGAUGGAUGCUCGGCAUCUGGGGGGAGGAAAAAUACCCCUCGGGUGGCCUCAGCUGACGCGCAAGCAUCCCACCUGGGAACUACGAGCGCAAGCUUAAAACUACAAAGGAAUUGACGGGGGCCCGGCACAAGCAGCGGAGCGUGUGGUUUAAUUCGACGCAACACGCAGAACCUUACCCAGACUAGACAUGCUACUGCAAGCCGCUGAAAGGCGGUCGCCUUCGAGGGUGUAGCACAGAUGCUGCAUGGCUGUCGUCAGCUCGUGUCGUGAGAUGUUGGGUUCAGUCCCGCAACGAGCGCAACCCCCGCGGUCAGUUACACGUGUCUGGCCGGACAGCCCUUCGGGGUAGGAAGGUGGGGAGUGAUGUCAAGUCCGCAUGGCUCUUACGUCUGGGCAACACACACGCUACAAUGGCCGUCGCAGCGCGUUGCGACACAGUAAUGUGAAGCUAAUCGUCAAGGACGG